CGUGACGUAGGCCCACCUUAUCCCCCCCAUUGAAAGGAUGGAUUCGCUGGCAAAGGAGCAAGGAGGGACGUUGUCUCACAGACAGCGUCCAGGCAGCAACAAACUGGUGUAUGGAAAUAUGUUGAAGAAAUGCGUCAGGCACUGCUGGAGGCCUGUAGGAGACUGUCACGACAAUGGAUGGGAUUUUUUGCAAUUUUCACAAACUGCAUGACUGCAGGAAAUGACGACGUACCACUUAUACUCAGUAGUUUCAGUAUUAGAUUGUUUCUCCUAUUUCUAAAUGCCUUUCAGUCAUUUUAUAAAGAGCAAAUUAUCUGCUUAUUACAUUGCUAAUUUUCUUUAAAAAAUUUUAAAAUGUUUUUUUUUUUUUUGUAUAACCCUUCUUUUAUUAAGGCAAAUACAGAAGUCAAUUAGUGUAUUUUAUUUCUUCAGAAGUGGAGCAGCAUGGAAUGUAUGACAUAAAAAAAAUGUUCGAGCAAAUAAAAGUUUGAGUAUCUGA